ensembl:snoRNA SNORD58 Small nucleolar RNA SNORD58
CUGCAGUGGUUACUAUCUUAUGACACUUUUGGAUUAAGCUAUGAAAAGAAAUGCAGUCUUUGAGCGAC